UACAGAGGUCCCAAGCGUUGUUCGGAUUCACUGGGCGUAAAGGGUGCGUAGGCGGUCGGGUAAGUCUGAUGUGAAAUCUCACAGCUUAACUGUGAAACUGCAUUGGAUACUAUCCGGCUCGAGGUUCGGAGGGGGGACUGGAAUUCUUGGUGUAGCAGUGAAAUGCGUAGAUAUCAAGAGGAACACCAGUGGCGAAGGCGAGUCCCUGGACGACACCUGACACUGAGGCACGAAAGCUAGGGGAGCAAACAGG
rnacentral:rRNA from 1 species